GAUGAAGAACGCAGCGAAAUGCGAUACGUAAUGUGAAUUGCAGAAUUCAGUGAAUCAUCGAGUCUUUGAACGCACAUUGCGCCCCCUGGUAUUCCGGGGGGCAUGCCUGUCCGAGCGUCAUUGCUGCCCUCAAGCACGGCUUGUGUGUUGGGCCCCCGCCCCCCGGUUCCCGGGGGGCGGGCCCGAAAGGCAGCGGCGGCACCGCGUCCGGUCCUCGAGCGUAUGGGGCUUCGUCACCCGCUCCGUAGGCCCGGCCGGCGCCCGCCGGCGACCCCCCCUCAAUCUUUCCAGGUUGACCUCAAAUCAGGUAGGACUACCCGCUGAACUUAAGCAUAUCAAUAAGCGGAGGA
rnacentral:misc_RNA from 1 species